GACAGAGGAUGCAAGCGUUAUUCGGAAUUACUGGGCGUAAAGCGCACGUAGGCGGCUUUGUAAGUUAGAGGUGAAAGCCUGGAGCUCAACUCCAGAAUUGCCUUUAAGACUGCAUCGCUCGAAUCCGGGAGAGGUGAGUGGAAUUCCGAGUGUAGAGGUGAAAUUCGUAGAUAUUCGGAAGAACACCAGUGGCGAAGGCGGCUCACUGGACCGGCAUUGACGCUGAGGUGCGAAAGCGUGGGGAGCGAAUGGG
rnacentral:rRNA from 1 species